CGGCUCUCCGGACGCGCUCGCGCCCCCGGGGCGCACCGUGCGGCUGGCGGCCCGAGAGUCCCUACGACCUUUCCCGCUGGCCGGCUAGACCGACCCCGCUGCUCCGAGUAAGCAGUGCAGGUGUGUAUUGCACACAUUAAACGGCACCCGAAUAAUGCAGGCGAAUCAGGAAUCAUUGGUUUACAUGCCCAGCAUCUACAAAUCGGAAUCUCUUGAGCAAGCAAACAUAUAUUCCACACCUCACACACCAAUGCGGACAGUUUUACUUCAAGCGUGAAAAGGAAACAGAGCCCAUGCCAGCCCCAUUUUAUCUUCACAUUUUCACUCCUUGGUUCCAACUUCUAAACAGCUAUGGCUUUGUUUUUGGCGGUUUCAAAAGAAGAGUAGGAAAAGGUUUUGAUACAUUUUAUAUAAGAAGUCCAAAUAAGUGUAAUAAAAGAAAUAAAAUGAAGUCCACAAAGCUGUUUGAGCAAAGUUGGAAGCCCAUGAGAAAGAUAGAUAUUCACAUUUUGUGAUUGGAUGUCCCUGCAAACAAAGGUCAGAGGCCAGUUUUAUGGAGAUAGUGAAGAGUAAGCCUGGCGUCCCUUACCACUGGUGUCCCUACUGCCAUAUCCCAGCUGGGAAGAAGGUGUGGU